GUGUCUGUCAGCGUGUGUGCCUUCGUGUGAGUGUGUCUGUACGUAGAGCGUCUGUACCCUGAGUGUGUGUUGUGUAUAUGUGGCGUUUGUGUGUGGCUGGGCCUAGGAAGGAGCUACAAAAUGGCCGAGCUGGAUUAAAAUUCUCUCCACCAAGUUCCCUUAUUCCCCGGUGUAGGAGGGAAGGGGAUUCGUGUCCUGGGCCACAGAUUUAGGAGUCCACAAGCAGGUCGUGGCCCUGGACUCCAGUUUUCUUAACCCGACGCUAAACUCUCCUAGCUUUAGAGCUGAAAGUGAGAGGUUCCUGUUAUCUGUCGGAUUCAUACUGAAGUUCACUGGCAAACUGUGGAUGAGUUGAGAUGGAAAGAGUACAUUGUUUCCUGACAUCCAUGAAGUGUGCGUUAAUUAUUCAACUGAUGCAUCCCAGCCAUCUUGAUGAAAAUAUCCUCUGCUCUCCAGUAAUUGUUCGGCCUCUAGCAAUGCCUCUUAUUGGCUUCCAGAAUGACCGUCUGGGUCUCAAAGUGGGUGCUGCUCAGCCUUUUCAGGAAGAGGUCAAAAGGACCUCCUCAUUGCUGAACACACAAAAGAUGUGGGACUAAUUAUAAUAGAGAUACAGACUGUGCUCUUAACUCCAUCCUAUGAGCUCCCAGGGGAGAGAAGGCAAAAGAGCAUGGCUGCAGGAAUCAGUACAUAUUGUUUCCCCAGCUAGAAAAACAACUCAACAUCCAUCCUACUCAAUCGGCUCAUUGGCUCAAUGGCUCAGUCUGGAGAGUCAUCUUUAUCAGAGAGCACAUGAGGAACUUCAUAAAGAGAGGCCUGGAGGCAUCUGAGUCCACAGUAUCCAUUAGACCACAACCAUGUGAACCACCGGAAAUAUAGUUCUCUAGUAUUUUGAACUCACUGCAAUCCGGGAUGGUGAGAGAUUGAGCGACAGUGUGGUCUAAGGAGAGACCUACUUUCAGAUCCUACUUCAUCUACUAUGGUGAUCAUGGCUAUCUGUCCACUAAAGAUAUGUUUCUAGUUGCCCUGGCAACCAACAAUUGGGCGUAGUUAACUAUUUACAGUUUCCAAAGUGAUUACAAAUGGGUCUCACCUAGCCUCGCCCAUUACCUGUUGGCACUGGAAUGCCCUCUUCAGUCUUGGGAAAGAAGUGACAAAGAGAGAUUCGAAGAAUAUUUGCAGGGGAACAGGACUCCAUCUGACUAAGAAGCCGUGUGCAGCAAGGUGUCUGUAAGGUGUUGGACUUGUCUCCAGUGCCCACUGUGGCCAACAUUUUGUGAAGAGGACGAUCUAGACCCGGCAAAUAACAUGCUGAUGCUACAUUCCCUUCUAUUCCAUUGCUAUGAGAAAGUGCUCCUGACCUCCAGGAAAAUUCUUCUCUGGUGACUCUUCAUGGAGGUGACCUUAAUUUUUAGGAAUUUAAAGAAGACCUAAAGGAAGGUCUGUGUUCAAACCCCACCUACCCGUGUGACCUAGCAGUGUGGCCAUAGGCAAGUCAUUCAAUUUCUGUGAACCUGUUUCCUUAUCGAAAAGGACCCUGCGAGCUUUAGAGUUUGGAGGAUUUUGGACUUACUGUCUCCUCAUUGACAUCCUAGCAGUAUCCCUGGAAAACUUAAUAGCAAUGUCUGCAGCAGGAGCCAAGGACAGAAUGGAUGCAGAAUCAAUGCUGUACAAGGAGCCCAACAGAAGCUCCCUCAUGUCUAAGAGGAACAUCUUGAGGAUUGCAGCAAAAGGACUUCCAGGAAUUGUGAGUUACCCAUUUGCUACAGGUAGUCUCUAAGCUUGAGUCCACUUUCCUCUGGGCUUUGUAUAUGCUUGUGAGAGUGUGUCACAGACUUCUUUUUUUUUUUAUUUAAUAGCCUUUU